GCAUUUAGCGCACUACUCGAUUCGGUAUACAACAAUUGAAACAUUAUGAAAGGUUUCGUGAUUUUGUUCCUGAGUUGCUUGCUAUCAGCCGCACUCGCUGAAAUUACAAUCAUUACUAAGUCAGAUAUUGCUGGAUACGAAAAUCUGAACUCAAACACGAUUGGAACAAAUGAAAAAUCUGUUGAACAAUCGAAUGAUGUUGUGGCCGUCGUUUUCAACGAUCAAAUACCUAAAGAACCAACAAAGGAUGUUAACAACUUAACCUGUUCUUGGGCCCAAUGCAUUGUAAGAUGUGCUCCACAAAUUGGCUUGUGCGUUAGAGGAGCGUGCAUCUGUAAAUAAGUUAUAUCUAACAAUACACCGGAAAAUUGUGCCAAUUAAAUUUCUUUUAUCUUUUAUUUUUAAUGUAUGAAAUGUAUGAAUUACUUAAAUUUUGAAUUUAUGUGUGUAUUUGUCGUAUUAUUCUAAAAUAAAAUGUGAAAGAACCAGAAACUGGUUCAGAAUAAA